rnacentral:rRNA from 1 species
GAUGAACGCUGGCGGCGUGCCUAAUACAUGCCAGUCGAGCGAAAAGACGAGGAGCUUGCUCCUCUGACGUUAGCCGCGGACGGGUGAGAAACACGUGGAUCACCUCCCUAUAAGACUGGGAUCACUUCGGGAAACCGGAGCUAAUCCCGGAUAAUCUAUUGCACCGCAUGGUUCAAUAGUGAAAGACGGUUUUGCUGUCACUUAUAGAUGGAUCUCCGCCGCAUUAGCUAGUUGGUACGGUAACGGCUUACCAAGGCAACGAUGCGUAACCGACGUGAGAGGGUGAUCGGCCACACUGGAACGGAGACACGGACAAGACGCCUACGGGAGGCAGCAGUAGCGUAUCUGCCGCAAUGGGCGAAAGCCUGACAGAGCAACGCCGCGUGAGUGAUGACGGUCUUCGGAUCGUAAAACUCUGUUAUUAGGUAAGAACAAAUGUGUAAGUAGCUAUGCACUUCUUGACGGUACCUAAUCAGAAAGCCACGGCUAACUACGUG